UGGGGAAUAUUGCACAAUGGGCGAAAGCCUGAUGCAGCAACGCCGCGUGAGUGAUGAAGGCCUUCGGGUUGUAAAGCUCUGUCUUCUGGGACGAUAAUGACGGUACCAGAGGAGGAAGCCACGGCUAACUACGUGCCAGCAGCCGCGGUAAUACGUAGGUGGCACGCGUUGUCCGGAUUUACUGGGCGUAAAGGAUGCGUAGGCGGAUUCUUAAGUCAGAUGUGAAAAUCCCGGGCUUAACUUGGGAACUGCAUUUGAAACUGGGUAUCGAGAGUGCGGGAGAGGAAAGUGGAAUUCCUAGUGUAGCGGUGAAAUGCGUAGAGAUUAGGAAGAACACCAGUGGCGAAGGCGACUUUCUGGACCGUAACUGACGCUGAGGCAUGAAAGCGUGGGGAGCAAACA
rnacentral:rRNA from 1 species